AAAAUUUCCCUUAGGCAUACCCCGUAUUUUAAUCAGAACAAAUAGCUAGAAAUAAAAACGUCUGUGAUUGGAUGGAAUCUACCGACACCUAUUAGCAUAAAUGCAGCAUACCAUAGCAGUAUGGAACAAAGGGACAAACAGAAUAACUUGCCAAGUAUGUGCACAAGGGCAGGUUUUGUUGAUUGACGCCAAAAAAAAUAGUAGCCAGCUAAAAGAAAACAUGAAAGCAAAAGAAGGGGGGAUUCAGCAUGAGUAGAAUGAUUUUUUACACAUAUAUCUUUUGUCGUUUUGACUCGUUUCAUGCUAUUUUCUUGCAAUACAGUUAGUGUUUACUAUCGUCAGAUUAUUUGAAAGUAUUUAACUUUAUGACAUCUAAACUAUCGUUUUUUAAUUUAUAUAUAGAUAAAACUAGUAUUGGAAACACCAGUUUAACAAAGAGUUAAUUGAAAUUUUCUAAUAGAAAUCAAGAAACUUCAAACUCCUAUACGAAAAUAUCCUAUUUUUUUGUUUUGUAAGUAAUAUUUUAUUAUGUAAUAUGGUCGGGAGAUACAAAAUGAAUAGGUCUAUUUUAAAAUGAGAAGGUCUAUUUUUAAAUGAGUUUUGUCUGUAUUUAGACUAGCAUAACAAACAUAUUUUAUGAUAAUUAUAAAACUUACAUCCUCAGACACAUAUAAAAUAUAAGAUGCUUAUUAGAUACAUAUACGAUAUCUAUGUUCAAAAUGCUUUGUAAAGUAGGAUCUUCAACUUUGUACUCGUUUGGCUUUAUAAAUAUUUUGAUAUGAGCGUCACUGGUGAGUUUUAUGUAGACGAAACGCGCAUCUGGCGUACUUAAUUAUAACACUGGUACCUUUGAUAACUUACUCCUCAAAGAAUAUACUUUGCUUGAACAAC